AGAAUCAACGCUGGCGGCGUGCCUAACACAUGCAAGUCGAACGAGAAAGUGGAGCAAUCCAUGAGUAAAGUGGCGACCGGGUGAGUAACACGUGACUAACCUACCUUCGAGUGGGGGAUAACAUCGGGAAACCGAUGCUAAUACCGCAUAACAUCGCAAGAUCAAAGCAGCAAUGCGCUGGAAGAGGGGGUCGCGGCUGAUUAGCUAGUUGGCGGGGUAACGGCCCACCAAGGCGAAGAUCGGUAGCCGGCCUGAGAGGGCGCACGGCCACACUGGAACUGAAACACGGUCCAGACUCCUACGGGAGGCAGCAGUGGGGAAUUUUGCGCAAUGGGGGAAACCCUGACGCAGCAACGCCGCGUGGAGGAUGAAGCCCCUUGGGGUGUAAACUCCUUUCGACCAAGACGAUAAUGACGGUACUGGUGGAAGAAGCACCGGCUAACUCUGUGCCAGCACGCCGC
rnacentral:rRNA from 1 species